rnacentral:rRNA from 1 species
CGAUACUUGGUGUGAAUUGCAGAAUUCAGUGAAUCAUCGAAUCUUUGAACGCACAUUGCGCCCCCUGGUAUUCCGGGGGGCAUGCCUGUUCGAGCGUCAUUUCACCACUCAAGCCUCGCUUGGUAUUGGGCGACGCGGUCCGCCGCGCGCCUCAAAUCGACCGGCUGGGUCUUUCGUCCCCUCAGCGUUGUGGAAACUAUUCGCUAAAGGGUGCCGCGGGAGGCCACGCCGUAAAACAACCCCAUUUCUAAGGUUGACCUCGGAUCAGGUAGGGAUACCCGCUGAACUUAAGCAUAUCAAUAAGCGGAGGAA